GUAUCCUUUCUUACCCAGUGGAUAUCCCAGGAAAACACAAGGAUCAGCUCUUGGAUGAAAUUUGUCUCUAUGCUGUUUGGGUACAGAAGCAAAGCAAAGACAACCAAAAGUCUUAAGAUGGUUAUAAGAAGGACUCUGUCCAAAAAGGAACUCAUAAAGAGAUGCAUUGUUAAGUAGUUUGGAAGAAAAUCUAUUGAUGAGAUAGGUGGCAGUAAGGACACAAUCUCCCCAUAAUUUAAGAGGAAGUUGGGACUGAAAAAGUAAUGAUCUGGAUGUUUCCAGAAGAUGUCUAUGUUUUCUCUCAACUACACCAUUUUUUUGUGGUGUAUGAGAGCAAGAUGUUUGGUGAAGGAUACCUUCUCAGCAAAGAAAUUGAUUCCAGCAUUACUAGUUCCAAGUUCAAGAGCAUUAUCACUCCUGAUGGUUUGGACAACAGUCUGAAAAUGAGUUUUGAUCAUGGAAAUGAAUGCCAUGAUAAUGGGAAAGGCAUUGCUUUUGGACUCCAUAAGGUGAGUCCAAGUAGCUCUUGUAAAAUCAACAACUAUUGUUAAAAAAUAUUUGCACCCAUUAUGGGUGGCAGUGGCAUAAGGACCCCAGGUAUCUAUAUGGAUGAGCUGAAAAGGAUGUGUUGUUUUUAUAGAACUUUCAGGAAAGGGCAAUCUAGACUGUCUUGCUAAUGGGCAAACAGUACAUAUAAAAGGCUGUUUAUUUGCAAAUUUACAUGGAAUAGAGGAAAUGUCUUUCAUUCUAACAAAAGGAAUGUGCCCUAGUCUGCUAUGCCAUAAUAUCUCCAUUUUAUUCAAUUCAGUAAUUUCAUUCUAACAAAAGGAAUGUACCCUAGUCUGUUAUGCCAUAAUAUCCCCAUUUUAUUCAAUUCAAAAUGGUAUGUACAAUGAGAGGAAGAAACAGAAGCAACAGCUAAUGGAGAAUGGUAAAUACAAGGAGUAUAGGAUUGAGAAGGAGUAGAAAGGGAAGAUUGCACAAGCCUGUAAAGACCAUCGUCCAGCUUACCAAUUU
rnacentral:lncRNA from 1 species